rnacentral:rRNA from 1 species
UACGUAGGGUGCGAGCGUUAAUCGGAAUUACUGGGCGUAAAGGGUGCGCAGGCGGUUUUGUAAGUCAGAUGUGAAAUCCCCGGGCUUAACCUGGGAAUGGCGUUUGAAACUGCAAGGCUAGAGUGUAGCAGAGGGGAGUGGAAUUCCGCGUGUAGCAGUGAAAUGCGUAGAUAUGCGGAGGAACACCGAUGGCGAAGGCAGCUCCCUGGGCUAACACUGACGCUCAUGCACGAAAGCGUGGGGAGCAAACAGGAUUAGAUACCCUGGUAGUCCACGCCCUAAACGAUGUCAACUAGUUGUCGGGCCUAAUUGAGGGUUUGGUAACGUAGCUAACGCGUGAAGUUGACCGCCUGGGGAGUACGAUCGCAAGAUUAAAACUUAAAUGAAUUGACGG